CUUUAAAACUCCGGGCAGGCAUACCUCUGUAUCUACCUCCGUCUCCAGAUGAUCCACAUCGUCCGCAGCAGGUGGCAAGGAGGAGGGCAGGGCAGCCUGGCCACGGUGACACCACUGCUGUACGUAUGCGCCUGGUACCUGGCAUUGAUCAUCGGUUGCUUCAUGCUCCUGCGGGUCAGCGGGAGAGCAGCUGGGACAGCAAGACGGACACCAGAACAGCAUUACGAAGGCCCCUUCGGGCCCAGUUGUAUUUAUUUAUUCGAGAGAGAGAGUGAGCAAGCGUGAGCGAGAGAGCCCGAGCUGGGAGAGGAGAUGGGGGAGCAGAGGGGAGCAGAGGGCCUGCCGACCGGGAGCCUCACGCCAGGCUCCAUCCGGGACUCGGCAUCAUGAUCUGAGCCCAAGGCAGAUGCUUCAUCGACUGGGCCCCCCAGGGGCCCCCCCACCUUGACCGUCCUGUCGCUCCUUUCGGACAGGCUGACCCCGAGAAGGCGCUCAAAGG